GACGAACGCUGGCGGCGUGCUUAACACAUGCAAGUCGAACGGAAAGGCCCUGCUUUUGUGGGGUGCUCGAGUGGCGAACGGGUGAGUAACACGUGAGUAACCUGCCCGUGACUCUGGGAUAACUUCAGGAAACUGGGGCUAAUACCGGAUAGGAGCUCCUGCUGCAUGGUGGGGGUUGGAAAGUUUCGGCGGCUGGGGUUGGACUGGCGGGUUAUCAGCUUGUGGGUGGGGUAGUGGCUUCCCAAGUCUUUGGCGGGUAGCCGGCCUUGGAGGGUGAGCGGCCACAUUGGGCCUGAGAUACGGCCCAGACUCCUACGGGAGGCAGCAGUCGGGAAUAUUGCACAAUGGGCGGAAGCCUGAUGCAGCGACGCCGCGUGCGGGAUGACGGCCUUCGGGUUGUAAACCGCUUUCGCCUGUGACGAAGCGUGAGUGACGGUAAUGGGUAAAGAAGCACCGGCUAACUACGUG
rnacentral:rRNA from 1 species